UACAGAGGUCUCAAGCGUUGUUCGGAUUUACUAGGCGUAAAGGGCGCGUAGGCGGCCACCGCAAGUCGGUUGUGAAAUCUCUGGGCUUAACCCAGAAAGGUCAACCGAUACUGCGGGGCUAGAGUGCAGAAGGGGCAACUGGAAUUCUCGGUGUAGCGGUGAAAUGCGUAGAUAUCGAGAGGAACACCUGCGGCGAAGGCGGGUUGCUGGGCUGACACUGACGCUGAAGCGCGAAAGCUAGGGGAGCGAACGGG
rnacentral:rRNA from 1 species